UACGGAGGGUGCAAACGUUGCUCGGAAUCAUUGGGCGUAAAGCGCACGUAGGCGGUUCAGUAUGUCGGGUGUGAAAGCCCUCGGCUUAACCGAGGAAGUGCAUUCGAAACUGCUGGACUUGAAUACUGGAGAGGAUCGCGGAAUUCCCGGUGUAGCGGUGAAAUGCGCAGAUAUCGGGAGGAACACCUAUGGCGAAGGCAGCUUGCUGGGACGGCACUGACGCUGAGACGCGAAAGCGUGGGGAGCAAACAGG
rnacentral:rRNA from 1 species